UGGGGAAUCUUGCGCAAUGCGCGAAAGCGUGACGCAGCAACGCCGCGUGGGGGAAGACGGCCCUCGGGUUGUAAACCCCUUUCAGGAGGGACGAAGGUUCGGCGGUGAACAGCCGUCCGGGCUGACGGUACCUCCAGAAGAAGCUCCGGCUAACUACGUGCCAGCAGCCGCGGUAAUACGUAGGGGGCAAGCGUUGUCCGGAAUCAUUGGGCGUAAAGCGCGCGUAGGCCGCCCUGUAAGUCCGCUGUAAAAGUCAAAGGCUCAACCUUUGAAAGCCGGUGGAUACUGCAGGGCUAGAGUCCGGAAGAGGCGAGUGGAAUUCCUGGUGUAGCGGUGGAAUGCGCAGAUAUCAGGAGGAACACCAAUAGCGAAGGCAGCUCGCUGGGACGGUACUGACGCUAAGGCGCGAAAGCGUGGGGAGCGAACAGGAUUAGAUACCCCCGUAGUCC
rnacentral:rRNA from 1 species